CCUGAAUACGUCAGCAGCUGGGGUUGGUGCCACACAGGGAUUCUCAUCCAGGAUGACCUCUGGGGGACAAUAUAUGUGUGCAGACUUUUUCUCUAUUAAUUCCUUGAGCUCAUCUUUCCUGUAAACCAACAGGCCAUAAUCUGAAAGCAGAUUGCAUAAUAUAAGGAUAUCUCCUGUUUGUCUUGAGGAUAUAAUUCUUAUCCUGAUUUGACCAAUUAAUGAAUACCGGAAAUUUUGCAAUUCCAUCGAUCAUCUAUGACACAAUUCCUUGAGGUCAACCUGCCAUGGUAGAUUUUAUGAUGAUGCAGAUAAGUCAUUCCCCGAGCAAUGUCUGUUGCGAAUGAUAAUC